rnacentral:rRNA from 1 species
AGAGUUUGAUCCUGGCUCAGGAUGAACGCUGGCGGCGUGCUUAAUACAUGCAAGUCGAGCGAGGUUACUGUUUUGGAUCCCUUCGGGGUGAAGAAGCUUUAACCUAGCGGCGGACGGGUGAGUAACGCGUGGGUAACCUACCCCAAAGUCCGGGAUAACAGCGGGAAACCGCUGCUAAUACCGGAUGCCUUUACCUGAGGGCAUCCUCGGGUAAAGAAAGGUUACGCUUUGGGAUGGGCCCGCGUCCCAUUAGCUAGUUGGUGAGGUAACGGCUCACCAAGGCGACGAUGGGUAGCCGGCCUGAGAGGGUGAACGGCCACACUGGGACUGAGACACGGCCCAGACUCCUACGGGAGGCAGCAGUAGGGAAUAUUGCGCAAUGGGCGGAAGCCUGACGCAGCGACGCCGCGUGAGCGAAGAAGGCCUUCGGGUCGUAAAGCUCUGUCCUUGGGGAAGAAGGCGAAAGCUUGACGGUACCCAAGAAGAAAGCCCCGGCUAACUACGUGCCAGCAGCCGCGGUAAUACGUAGGGGGCGAGCGUUGUCCGGAAUUACUGGGCGUAAAGGGUGCGUAGGCGGCCUUUUAAGUCAGAUGUGAAAGGCUGCGGCUUAACCGCAGGACUGCAUUUGAAACUGGAAGGCUUGAGUGUCGGAGAGGGUAGUGGAAUUCCCAGUGUAGCGGUGAAAUGCGUAGAUAUUGGGAGGAACACCAGUGGCGAAGGCGACUACCUGGACGAUAACUGACGCUGAGGCACGAAAGCUAGGGGAGCAAACAGGAUUAGAUACCCUGGUAGUCCUAGCCGUAAACGAUGGGUACUAGGUGUAGGUGGUUUCGAUACCAUCUGUGCCGCAGUUAACGCAAUAAGUACCCCGCCUGGGGGGUACGGUCGCAAGACUGAAACUCAAUGAAUUGACGG